rnacentral:SRP_RNA from 1 species
GCCGGCGCAGUGGCGUGUGCCUGUAGUCCUAUAAUCCCAGCUACUUGGGAGGCUGAGGUGGGAGAAUCACUUGAGCCCAGGAGUUCUGGGCUGUACUGCGCUAUGCCGAUCGGGUGUCCAAACUAAGUUCGGUAUCAAUAUGGUGACCUCCUGGGAGUGGGGGACUACCAACUUGCCUAAGGAGGGGUGAACUGGCCCAGUUCGGAAAUGGAGCAGGUCAAAACUCCCGUGCUGAUCAGCCAUGGGAUUGCGCCUGUGAAUAGCCACUGCACUCCAGCCUGGGCAACAUAGCGAGACCCCGUCUCU